rnacentral:SRP_RNA from 1 species
GCUGGGCAUGGUGGUGGAUGCCUGUAGUCCAAGCUACUCAGGAGGCUGAGACAGGAGGAUUGCUUGGGCCCAGGUGUUUGAGGUUGCUGUGAGCUAGGCUGAAGCCACAGCAUUCUAGCCUAGAGCAACAGAGUGAGACUCUGUCUCAU